ensembl:lncRNA
AAGGGUUAUGUUGUCUUCAUAUGAAAUGAAAUGAGUAAAUGAAUGAAGACUAUGGUAUCCUGAAGUGAGGUCCGGGGAAUAACUGAAAGAAUGGAGCUUGUAAAGCCAACAGUUUAUGUUCUUAAGGAUAUCUUAUAUAUCAUCAUCUCAUCAAAUAAACUUAGGACCUCUGUCAUCUCCUGCUAGUGCUCCCUGGAGAACAGACGGUCACAAAAGUGAACUGUGUUUCUGGCUGCAUAUAACGUCCGACUCCUGAGUCCAUGAACUGCCCAUACAACCAUUCCUGUUGCUUCAAACAAGUAGUCCAAAGCUGUAGUUGCACGCAAGAAGGUUAUAAAAGGAUGACCACAGAUUUCCUUCUGUCGAUGGACGGAGACUCUUCAACCUCCUUUGGUGUUGCAGCCGAUGCAGUCCAGACCUGUCGUCAGGGGAGGUGCAUUGUGAUGGCCGGAGGGAAAGGAUCAGCCUCUCACUGAAAUGAUACAGAUGGC